UUUAUUUUUUUAUGUAUGUUACAUCAGAACUUUUGACCGGGUGGACCGAUUUCGACAAAUUUUGUUUUAAUCGAAAGGUGAUGCGUGCCAAUUGGUCCCAUUUAAAUUUAUUUGAGAUCUAACAACUACUUUUCGAGUUAUAUCUAAUAAUGCGUCUUUACUUGACGCUUUUUUCGUCGACCUACGUUGUAUUAUACCGCAUAACUUUCUACUGGAUGUACCGAUUUUGAUAAUUCUUUUUUUGUUGGAAAGGGGAUAUCCCUAGUUUGGUACCGUGAUAAGGAAACCAGGAUCUAAUGAUGGAAUCCCAGAGAAAUCGAGGGAAACUCUCGAAAAUCUGUAAUAACUUUUUACUGGGUGUACCGAUUUUGAUAAUUUUUAAUUUAAUCGAAAGC
rnacentral:misc_RNA from 1 species